GGUAUAUGGCUCAGCUGGUAGAGUGUUUGUUUAGCAUACAAAAAGUCCUGGGUUCGAUUUCCAGUAUAUCC
rnacentral:tRNA from 1 species